rnacentral:rRNA from 1 species
GAUGAACGCUAGCGGCAGGCCUAACACAUGCAAGUCGAGGGAGAAGCCCUUUCGGGGGCAGAAACCGGCGCACGGGUGCGUAACGCGUAUGCAACCUACCUUUCACAGGGGGAUAGCCCGAAGAAAUUUGGAUUAAUACCCCAUAAUAUUAUUGGAUGGCAUCAUUUGAUAAUUAAAACUGCGGUGGUGAAAGAUGGGCAUGCGUCCUAUUAGCUAGUUGGAGUGGUAACGGCACCCCAAGGCUACGAUAGGUAGGGGUCCUGAGAGGGAGAUCCCCCACACGGGUACUGAGACAGGGACCAGACUCCUACGGGAGGCAGCAGUGAGGAAGAUUGGUCAAUGGUCGGAAGACUGAACCAGCCAUGCCGCGUGCAGGAAGAAUGCCUUAUGGGUUGUAAACUGCUUUUAUAUGGGAAGAAUAAGGCGUACGUGUACGUUGAUGACGGUACCAUAUGAAUAAGCAUCGGCUAACUCCGUG